rnacentral:rRNA from 1 species
AUUGAACUCUGGCGGCAGGCCUAACACCUGCAAGUCGAGCUAGCGGCGGACGGGUGAGUAAUGUAUGGUGAUCUGCCCGAUCGAGGGGGAUAACUACUGUAAACGGUUGCUAAUACCGCAUACUAUCGGAUGAACCCAUAUGGGAUUAGCUAGUAGGUGGGGUAAAGGCUCACCUGGGCGACGAUCUCUAGCUGGUCUGAGAGGAUGAUAAGCCACACUGGGACUGAGACACGGCCCAGACUCCUACGGGAGGCAGCAGUGGGGAAUAGUGCACAAUGGGCGAAAGCCUGAUGGAGCCAUGCCGCGUGUAUGAAGAAGGCCUUAGGGUUGUAAAGUACUUUCAGCGGGGAGGCGGUACCCGCAGAAGAAGCACCGGCUAACUACGUGCCAGCAGCCGCGGUAAUAC